rnacentral:rRNA from 1 species
CGGGGUGAGUAAUGCUUGGGAAUCUAGCUUAUGGAGGGGGGUAACUACGGGAAACUGUAGCUAAUACCGCGUAAUAUCGAAAGAUUAAAGUGUGGGACCUUCGGGCCACAUGCCAUAGGAUGAGCCCAAGUGGGAUUAGGUAGUUGGUGAGGUAAAGGCUCACCAAGCCGACGAUCUCUAGCUGGUCUGAGAGGAUGACCAGCCACACUGGGACUGAGACACGGCCCAG